rnacentral:misc_RNA from 1 species
GAUGAAGAACGCAGCAAAAUGCGAUAAGUAAUGUGAAUUGCAGAAUUCAGUGAAUCAUCGAAUCUUUGAACGCACAUUGCGCCCGCCAGUAUUCUGGCGGGCAUGCCUGUUCGAGCGUCAUUUCAACCCUCAAGCACAGCUUGGUGUUGGGACUCGCGUUAAUUCGCGUUCCUCAAAUUGAUUGGCGGUCACGUCGAGCUUCGAUAGCGUAGUAGUAAAACCCUCGUUACUGGUAAUCGUCGCGGCCACGCCGUUAAACCCCAACUUCUGAAUGUUGACCUCGGAUCAGGUAGGAAUACCCGCUGAACUUAAGCAUAUCAAUAAGCGGAGGA